rnacentral:rRNA from 1 species
AAUGAACGUUGGCGGCGUGGAUUAGGCAUGCAAGUCGCGCGACAAGGAACCUUCGGGUUCUGGAGGAGCGGCAAACGGGGUAGUAAGGCAUCGGAACGUACCCUCUUGUUGGGAAUAGCCGCGGGAAACUGCGAGUAAUGCCCAAUAAUCCCUACGGGGCAAAGGUCCGCCGCAGGAGGAGCGGCCGAUGUGAUACCAGCUAGUUGGUGAGGUAAUGGCUCACCAAGGCUUAGACGUCUAGGGGGUGUGAGAGCAUGGCCCCCACCACUGGGACGUGAGAUACUGCCCACGACACCUACGGGUGGGCUGCAGUCGAGAAUCUUCGGCGAAUAGGGCGGCAAGCC